rnacentral:rRNA from 1 species
GACGUAGGGCGCGAGCGUUGUCCGGAUUUAUUGGGCGUAAAGGGCGCGUAGGCGGUUUGUUAAGUCGGUCGUGAAAGCCCGGGGCUCAACCCCGGAGGGUCGACCGAUACUGGCAGACUAGAGUACAGAAGAGGUAACUGGAAUUCCCGGUGUAGCGGUGAAAUGCGUAGAUAUUGGGAAGAACACCGAUGGCGAAGGCAGCCAUCUGGACCGACACUGACGCUGAGGCGCGAAAGCGUGGGGAGCAAACAGG